rnacentral:rRNA from 1 species
UACGGAGGGGGCUAGCGUUGUUCGGAAUCAUUGGGCGUAAAGAGCGUGUAGGCGGCCAGAAAAGUCCGCUGUGAAAACUCGAGGCUCAACUUCGAGCUGUCGGUGGAAACUUUCUGGCUAGAGUCCGGAAGAGGAGAAUGGAAUUCCUGGUGUAGCGGUGAAAUGCGCAGAUAUCAGGAAGAACACCCGUGGCGAAGGCGGUUCUCUGGGACGGUACUGACGCUGAGACGCGAAAGCGUGGGGAGCGAACAGG